rnacentral:lncRNA from 1 species
CUUUCUUUUGCAACUUGUUUGUUUUCUGCCCUGGUAGUGAUAGAUUGCUGCAGGAACUGGAAGGGUCAAAGAAAAUGUGAAUUAGAGCCCUUACAACGUUAUAGGAGAGCCAUCUGAGUUGGAUACAGCUACUGUCUUUGCCAAAUGUCAACUUCAGAAGCUUUCUGACCCUCAAAGCUUUGUCGUCAUCUCAAACAUCAUCAUCAUCAUUUUCAAACAUGAAUGCAUGCCAAGGACCAGCCUCAACUUGGAGAAGGGUUCUGAGAGAAGGGAUGUUUGACAGCAGAGAAACAAAGGACUGGAAGUCAAAUUGUGGUGAGUUCAAGCUGAUAGCCUAUGUUCUACUCCAGAUGGUAACUGUAGUGGUUAUUCCUGGUUGUCAACUUGACUAUAUUUGGAAUGACUACAAUCCGGAAUUGGAAGGCUCACCAGUGACCCUUAUCUGGAGGAUUGGAUAUCCUUAUCUGGAUCUUGGUUUGAAGAUCUUAAGCCAUAGUGGCUA